rnacentral:rRNA from 1 species
CUCACCCCUUUUGUGCAUCACCGCGUGGGCCCUCCUUUGCAGGAGGGCUUGCGUUUUCACAUAAAACUUGAUACAGUGUAGAAUGUUUUCUUUUCUUUUGCGGUCAAACGCAAUUAAUACAACUUUCAACAACGGAUCUCUUGGCUCUCGCAUCGAUGAAGAACGCAGCGAAAUGCGAUACGUAAUGUGAAUUGCAGAAUUCAGUGAAUCAUCGAAUCUUUGAACGCACCUUGCGCCCCUUGGCAUUCCGAGGGGCACACCCGUUUGAGUGUCGUGAAAUCAUCAAAACCUUUUCCUUUGAUCCUCUUUUGGUCGGGAAAAGGAUUUUUGGACUUGGAGGUUCUAUGCUCGCUUUUGAAAGCGAGCUCCUCUCAAAUGAAUUAGUGGGGUCUGCUUUGCUGAUCCUUGACGUGAUAAGAUGUUUCUACGUUUUGGAUUUGGCACUGUCCCUUGGACGCCUGCUCCUAACCGUCUGUUGGACGACGAUGGUGCUUCGGUCACUGCCAUCUACAUUGGCGGGAGGCUGGACCCACAAAAAAGACCUUGACCUCAAAUCGGGUGAGACUA